rnacentral:rRNA from 1 species
AACAUAGCCUUGUGUGUUCGUGAUAUGAGGUGAUUUCUGCCCAGUGAGUAAUUAAACGGCCGCGGUAGCCUGACCGUGCUAAGGUAGCGCAAUCAUGUGCCCUUUAAUUGGGGGACGGUAUGAAUGAAUUUACGGGGGCGGACUGUCUCCUACCUAAUUUUCGAAAUUUACCUUCAGGUGAAAAGGCCUGAAUUUUUUGAUAAGACAGAAAGACCCUAAAAGCUUUGCCUAAGUUUCUAUUUUUAAGGGGCUAGGAUUUAGUUGGGGCGACGGAUGACAAUAAACGUAAUCGAUUAAUUAGGGGAACUACCCGCUUCUAAAUAGCCAAGCGCAUAGGAGUAAGUUACUUUAGGGAUAACAGGCUAGUCUCCCCCACGAGUGCGUAUCAACGGGGAGGUUCGGCACCUCGAUGUUGGCUUAGGACUCCUACAGGGCGCAGGAGCUCUAUAAGGUGGUUUGUUCAACCAUUAAAUUCCUACAUGAUC